rnacentral:snRNA from 1 species
GUACUUGCUUCGGCAGCACAUAACUAAAAUUGGAACGAUACAGAGAAGAUUAGCAUAGCCCCUGCGCAAGGAUGACACGCAAAAUCGUGAAGCGUUCCACUUUUUA